rnacentral:rRNA from 1 species
GUUCUAAAAUUAUAGACUAAACUUAAUUAAAGUCUAAAACAAAACCAAACAACCCCCCGAAAACUACGGGUUA